GACGAACGCUGGCGGCGUGCUUAACACAUGCAAGUCGAACGGAAAGGCCCUGCUUUUGUGGGGUGCUCGAGUGGCGAACGGGUGAGUAACACGUGAGUAACCUGCCCUUGACUUUGUGAUAACUUCAGGAAACUGGGGCUAAUACCGGGUAGGAGCUCCUGCUGCAUGUGGGGGGUUGGAGAGUUUCGGCGGUUGGGGAUUGACUCGAGGCUUAUGAGCUGGUUGGUGGGGUAGUGGCUUACCAAGUCUUUGACGGGUAGCCGGCCUUGGAGGGUUACCGGCCACCUUGGGCCUGAGGUACGGACCAGACUGCUACGGGAGGCAGCAGUGGGGAAUAUUGCACAAUGGGCGGAAGCCUGAUGCAGCAACGCUGCGUACGGGAUGACGGCCUUCGGGUUGUAAACCGCUUUCGCCUGUGACGAAGCGUGAGUGACGGUAAUGGGUAAAGAAGCACCGGCUAACUACGUG
rnacentral:rRNA from 1 species